rnacentral:rRNA from 1 species
AUGAGGUGCCACAAGGCACGGAGGAAUAAGAAGGGGAAAGGUGUUGCGCCUGUCGUUCCGGAACGAAAGAGAGGUAUCAUUCUCAAGACGGAAUGCCCUGUCCGGUGUAAGCUAAACGUAGAUGGAGCACAGUGGGUGGUCACUGAAUAUUUUGACGAGCACAACCACAAACUCAUAAAGAAGUUCGACCUGGUAAAAUUUCUGACCGCCCAUAGAGGAUUCACCCCCCUCGGGAAGAAAUUCAUAAAGCUGCUACAUGAUUGUAACGUCGGUCCAUCAGGAAUGGUCCAGAUACUAUCACUCAUCCACAGCAAAAAAGGGACUUUGAGUAGCAUGCCCUACAUACCAGCUGACGUCACAAACCUAAAGGCAAAGUACCGUAGAGAGAGCAAGUUGGCUGACAUAGAGGCCACAAUGGCCUACUUCGAUGAGAAAGCGAAGGAAGAUCCAGAUUUCUUCUACAGGAUAAGAUUGGACGAUGAGGACCGUGUCAGGAACAUGUAUUGGGUGGAUGGUUCUGCAAGAAGAGCCUACAAACAUUUCCGAGAUUGCAUUUCAUUCGACGCGACAUAUCUCACUAAUAUGUACAAGAUGCCAUGCGCUCCAUUCAUAGGAAUAAAUAACCACAACACAGAUGGGUACGUUUGGCUGUUCAAGACCUUCUUGGAGUGCAUGGGUGGACUUGCUCCGAUGAACAUAAUAACAUACCAGGAUUUUAGCAUGCGUGCAGGCAUAGAGGAGGUCUUUCCGUUGGCAGUGCACAGGCACUGCAGGUGGCACAUUAUAAAGAAGGCUGAGGAGACACUAGGACCGUUCUUUCCUACUACACAGCGCAGUGAGGGGUUCAUUGCUGUUUUGAAGCGGUACGACGGGAUUGUGUGCUGUCACAUUCUAAAAGUAAUGGACUUGAAUGCGGUGACAUGAAUGCCCCGCCAUUUCAUAAGGCGGCGAUGGACUUGGGACGCUGACGACGCAUCGGCGCCGCAAACAUCAAACGCAGUUUUGGCCGUGCAUGACGAGAGACCAGAGUCAACCAUGGAAGCCGUGAGGCACGUUGUGUUGACAAAGAACUAUGCUGAACUAAUUGAUGAAGCGUGCAAGAGUGAUGAGACAGCAAAGGUCGCAGAAAAACACAGGAAGGCCCUCAAAAGAGAGCUUGAUGAGAUCAAGAAGAGGAAAGCUGAGGAAGCCUUACACAGGUUCCCCCGCACAUCAAGUGUGCCUUCGUCCACAGGGCCAUCAUCUGAAAACUCGGAGGUAGGAUCUGGAACAGCAAGCACACAAACACAGGUUAGGAACCCGACCCGUUCCAUCACAAAAGGGCGUCCAAAAGAGAUAAGAUACAAAUCGGGAUUGGAGAUUCAAGCAAAACAUAAGAAACCAAAGAAAGGGACGGGCAAUCCGUAA